rnacentral:rRNA from 1 species
GGUAUGAAUGGCUAAACGAGAAAUUGACUUUUUUUGUUAUAUUAAUAGAAUUUAAUUUUUUAGUGAAAAAGCUAAAAUUCUUUAGAAAGACGAGAAGACCCUAUAGAGUUUAUAUAUUAAAAAUUAUUUUAUUUUAGUUGUUUUGUAAAUAUAAAAUAAUUUCAAAUAUUUUGUUGGGGCGACAUUUAGAUAAAAAAAACUCUUUAUAAUAAAAAUUUUUAUGAAAAUAAUAUUUGAUCCUUUAAAAAAGAUCAGAAGAAAAAAUUACCUUAGGGAUAACAGCGUAAUCUUUUUUGAGAGUUCAAAUCGACAAAAAGGUUUGCGACCU